rnacentral:rRNA from 1 species
GACGAACGCUGGCGGCGUGCCUAAUACAUGCAAGUCGAACGCAGUGGGGACGGGUGAGUAACACGUGGGUAACCUCCCAUCAGAGGGGAUAAAACUUGGAAACAGGUGCUAAACCGAUACUGAUGGAUGGACCCGCGGUGCAUUAGCUAGUUGGUGAGGUAACGGCUCACCAAGGCCACGAUACAUAGCCGGGCUGAGAGGGGGAUCGGCCACACUGGGACUGAGACACGGCCCAGACUCCUACGGGAGGCAGCAGUAGGGAAUCUUCGGCAAUGGACGAAAGCCUGACCGAGCAACGCCGCGUGAGUGAAGAAGGUUUUCGGAUCGUAAAACACUGUUGGUAGAGAAGCGGUAUGUAAAGAGAAAGCCACGGGUAACUACGUGCCAGCAGCCGCGGUAAUAC